rnacentral:rRNA from 1 species
GCCGAACCGAGCGAACGUUGUUCGGAAUCACUGGGCUUAAAGGGCGCGUAGGCGGGCUGUCAAGUCUGGGGUGAAAUCCCACGGCUCAACCGUGGAGCUGCCUCAGAUACUGACGGCCUCGAGGGAGGUAGGGGCGAGCGGAACGGGUGGUGGAGCGGUGAAAUGCGUUGAUAUCACUCGGAACUCCGGUGGCGAAAGCGGCUCGCUGGACCUUUUCUGACGCUGAGGCGCGAAAGCUAGGGGAGAAAACGGG